rnacentral:rRNA from 1 species
AGGGCGCAGGGCGAAUGCCUUGGCACUGGGAGCCGAUGAAAGACGUGAUAAGCUGCGAUAAGCUUCGGGGAGCUGCAAAUAAGCAUUGAUCCGGAGAUUUCUGAAUGAGGAAACUCACCUGGGUUCAUACUCAGGUACGUUAUACUGAACUUAAAAAUAGGUAUAUCGAGGGAACCGCCUGAACUGAAACAUCUAAGUAGGGCGAGGAAGAGACAUCAAACGAGAUUCCGUAAGUAGUGGCGAGCGAACGCGGAAGAGGGCAAACCGGAAGUAGAAAUACUUCCGGGGUACGGACCGCAUUUAGGACUUAAGUUGUUAACCGAACGGCAUGGGAAGGCCGGUCAGAGAGUGUGAGAACCACGUAGGUGAAAACGACAAGAGCUGAGCGAGUUCCAGAGUACGGCCAGACACGUGAAACCUGGUCGGAAUACGGGGGGACCACCCUCCAACCCUAAAUACUACCCAGUGACCGAUAGCGUAUAGUACUGUGAAGGAAAGGUGAAAAGCACCCCGGGAGGGGAGUGAAAAAGAACCUGAAACCCUGUGCCUACAAGCACCUAGAGCACGUCAAAGUGUGAUAGGGUACUUUUUGUAGAACGGUCCGGCGAGCGAUUGUAUGCAGCAAGGUUAAGGACUUAAGGUCUGGAGCCGAAGCGAAAGCGAGUUUGAAAAGGGCGUUAAGUUGCAUACAAUGGGCCCGAAACCGGGUGACCUACCCAUGGUCAGGUUGAAGUGGAAGUAAAAUUCCAUGGAGGACCGAACCGACCUCCGUUGAAAAGGCGGCGGAUGAACUGUGGGUAGCGGAGAAAUUCCAAUCGAACCCGGAGAUAGCUGGUUCUCCCCGAAAUAGUUUUAGGACUAGCCUCAAGUUAGAUACCUGGAGGUAAAGCACUGAAUAGCCUAGCGGCCGAGAGGUUAGCGAAGCUUAUCAAACUCAGAAUGCCAGAGUAUUGAUGCUUGGGAGUCAGACAGUGUCAGAUAAAUGUCAUUGUCAAAAGGGAAACAGCCCAGAUCUACAGCUAAGGUCCCAAAGUCAGGUUAAGUGGAAAACGAUGUGAAGAUACGUAGACAACCAGGAUGUUGGCUCAGAAGCAGCCACACAUUCAAAGAGUGCGUAAUAGCUCACUGGUCGAGCGUCUUUGCGCGGAGAAUUUAACGGGGCUAAACCUGACACCGAAGCUUAGGCAAUACAGCAAUGUAUUGGGUAGGGGAGCGUUGUAUACGCGGUGAAACAGUAGCGCAAGCGGCUGUGGAGUGUAUAGAAGUGAGAAUGCCGGAAUGAGUAGCGCGAAUGCAGUGAGAAUCUGCAUGGCCGAAAGCCUCAGGUUUCUGGAGGAAGGUUCGUCCGCUCCAGGUUAGUCGGGAGCUAAGGUGAGGCCUAACGGCGUAGCCGAUGCACAGACGGUAGAGAUUCCGUCACCACCAAAAGAGUUAAGCACAGGGACACAUUUGAAGUCUCGGAGCCGGGUGUUGGUUCCGGUAGCGAUCGAGGGAAGUUAGUACCGAAGUCCGGGAUGGAAGAUGGCGAGAAAAGCUGUGUGUAUUUCUGCGGUGCCCGUACCGCAAACCGACACAGGUAGGUAGGAAGAAGAUUCUAAGGCCAACGGGAGAAGGGUUGUUAAGGAACUCGGCAAAUUGACCCCGUAACUUCGGGAGAAGGGGUGCUCCAGAGAUGGAGCCGCAGAGAAUCGGCCCAAGCAACUGUUUACCAAAAACACAGGUUUGUGCUAAAUCGAAAGAUGACGUAUACGAGCUGACGCCUGCCCGGUGCUGGAAGGUUAAGAGGAGAUGUGCAAGCAUUGAAUCGAAGCCCCAGUGAACGGCGGCCGUAACUAUAACGGUCCUAAGGUAGCGAAAUUCCUUGUCAGGUAAGUUCUGACCCGCAUGAAAGGCGUAAUGAUUUGGGCACUGUCUCGACAGCCCGCCCGGCGAAAUUGUAGUACCGGUGAAGAUGCCGGUUACCCGCGACAAGACGGAAAGACCCCAUGGAGCUUUACUGUAGCCUAAUAUUGGGUUUCGAUGUUGCAUGCACAGGAUAGAUGGGACACAGGGAAACAAGUGCUUUGGCAUUUGUGGAGUGGCCGUUGGGAUACCAUCCUUGCGAUAUUGGAAUUCUAACCUGCGCCUUUGAAUCAAGGCGGGGGACAUUGUUAGGUGGGCAGUUUGACUGGGGCGGUCGCCUCCUAAAGAGUAACGGAGGCGUUCAAAGGUUCGCUCAGCUUGAACGGAAAUCAAGCAAAAGAGUGCAAACGCAGAAGCGAGCCUAACUGCGAGACUGACGGGUCGAGCAGUAACGAAAGUUGGAGUUAGUGAUCCGGUGGUAUGUGAGUGGAAAUGCCAUCGCUCAACGGAUAAAAGUUACCCUGGGGAUAACAGGCUGAUCUCCCCCAAGAGUCCACAUCGACGGGGAGGUUUGGCACCUCGAUGUCGGCUCAUCGCAUCCUGGGGCUGUAUUCGGUCCCAAGGGUUUGGCUGUUCGCCAAUUAAAGCGGUACGCGAGCUGGGUUCAGAACGUCGUGAGACAGUUCGGUCCCUAUCUGUCGUGGGCGCAGGAUAUUUGAUGGGAGCUGUUCCUAGUACGAGAGGACCGGAGCGGACGUACCUCUGGCGCACCAGUUGUUCUGCCAAGGGCAUAGCUGGGCAACUAUGUACGGAUCGGAUAAACGCUGAAAGCAUCUAAGCGUGAAGCCGACCCAAAGAUAAGAUAUCCCAUUGU